rnacentral:rRNA from 1 species
GCGUGAGUGAUGAAGGCCUUCGGGUUGUAAAGCUCUUUUGGCGGGGACGAUGAUGACGGUACCCGCAGAAUAAGCCCCGGCUAACUUCGUGCCAGCAGCCGCGGUAAGACGAAGGGGGCAAGCGUUGUUCGGAAUUACUGGGCGUAAAGGGCGCGUAGGCGGUCUUGUUAGUCAGGCGUGAAAGCCCUGGGCUUAACCUAGGAUGUGCGCUUGAUACUGCGAGGCUUGAGUGUGGGAGAGGUUGGUGGAAUUCCCAGUGUAGAGGUGAAAUUCGU